rnacentral:rRNA from 1 species
CCUACGGGAGGCAGCAGUGAGGAAUAUUGGUCAAUGGACGAGAGUCUGAACCAGCCAAGUAGCGUGAAGGAUGACUGCCCUAUGGGUUGUAAACUUCUUUUAUAUGGGAAUAAAAUGUUCCACGUGUGGGAUUUUGUAUGUACCAUAUGAAUAAGGAUCGGCUAACUCCGUGCCAGCAGCCGCGGUAAUACGUAGGGGGCAAGCGUUAUCCGGAUUUACUGGGUGUAAAGGGAGCGUAGACGGUGCAGCAAGUCUGAUGUGAAAUUGCGGGGCUCAACCUCGCCGAGCCGUUGAAACUGCUCUUCUAGAGUGGGCGAGAAGUAUGCGGAAUGCGUGGUGUAGCGGUGAAAUGCAUAGAUAUCACGCAGAACUCCGAUUGCGAAGGCAGCAUACCGGCGCCCAACUGACGCUCAUGCACGAAAGCGUGGGUAUCGAACAGGAUUAGAUACCCCUGUAGUC